GUGAGCGGUGAUUAUUAUUAUUAUAUGACGGUGUUAUACAUGAUACCCUGUGAGCGGUGAUUACUAUUAUAUGACGGUGUAAUACAUGAUACCCUGUGAGCGGUUAUUAUUAUUAUAUGACGGUGUUAUACAAGAUACUUUGUGCAUUUACAAUCUAAAGCAAAUUAGACAUUGAAGAAAGCGAUAUUGGGAGCAAAUACAGCAAUGGGGGGCGGGAGGGGAAUCACAGAAAACACUAGAUCAGGUAUAAACACCUGAUCUGCUACGAUGGUUAUCCAGUAAUUAGUGGAGAUUUUACCUAUGACGUAAUGUGUGUGUUCCAGUUUCUUUCUGUGGGGGAGAUGAUAAAUUGUAAAGUGCUAAG